AUACGGAGGAUCCGAGCGUUAUCCGGAAUUACUGGGUGUAAAGGGAGCGCAGGCGGGCGUGCAAGUCAGCUGUGAAAUCCAUGGGCUUAACCCGUGGGCUGCAGUUGAAACUGUAUGUCUUGAGUGAAGUAGAGGUAGGCGGAAUUCCGAGGGUAGCGGGAAAAUGCGUAGAUAUUCGGAGGAACACCGGUGGCGAAGGCGGCCUACUGGGCUUUAACUGACGCUGAGGCUCGAAAGUGUGGGGAGCAAACAGGAUUAGAUACCCUGGUAGUCCACACUGUAAACGAUGAUUGCUAGGUGUGGGGGGUCUGACCCCUUCCGUGCCGCAGUUAACGCAAUAAGCAAUCCACCUGGGGAGUACGGCCGCAAGGCUAAAACUCAAAUGAAUUGACGGGG
rnacentral:rRNA from 1 species